CUCUGUGACAUCACAAUAUCCAGCCCAGCCCCGAUCUCAACAUCUGAGCAGAAAAAGUAGCAGAGGUUCAGGGAUUGAUAGAGCAGAAGUCGAAGCCACCUGAAGGACGUGGAAGGAACCAGUCACCCAUGCCUCCAGUUCAGAGGAUAACCAGUUGGCGAUAGAGUAACAAAUGAAAAGUAACCUGAUUCCAUUAACCUGCUUACCUCUGCCUGGGAAUGAUGGAAAGGAGCAACCUUUCACUUUGAAAGAGUGGAACAGCCUGAGAAAAUGGCAUGUAACCUACCUAACCAAAGACAGCGGUCUAUGUCAACGACGGGAGAAACUCUGUAUGAAACUCUUGGUCUGCACAAGGGAGCAUCAAAUGAAGAGAUUAAGAAAACCUACAGAAAAUUGGCCCUGAAAUACCAUCCAGACAAGAAUCCAGGUGACCCAGCUGCUGCUGAAAAGUUUAAAGAAAUCAACAAUGCCCAUAGCAUACUAACCGACACAUCAAAGAGAAACAUAUAUGAUAAGUACGGAUCCCUGGGCCUCUAUGUGGCUGAGCAAUUUGGAGAGGAAAAUGUCAAUACCUACUUCAUGCUGUCAAGCUGGUGGGCAAAGGCCCUGUUCAUCGUCAUUGGCCUUUUGACUGGCUGCUAUUUCUGUUGCUGCCUCUGCUGCUGCUGCAACUGUUGCUGUGGGUACUGCAAGCCCAAGUCAUCAGUGCCGGAAGAAGAGAUCUGUGUAUCACCGGAAGACCUUGAGGAGCAGAUCAAGACUGACAUGGAAAAAGACGACAGCAGAGGUGUGGACUUUCCAGUUGUUCUCCAGCCUACCAAUGCAAAUGAAAAAACACAGCUAAUUCAAGAAGGACCUCGAAGUUACCGCACAGACUCUUGAUGUUGAGCCUGUUGAGGGUCCACAGUACUCCCUCUCGAUUCAGCCAUGUCUCUAGCUUGUCCAGGGAGCUAAUCCAACAGUGGUUAAGAUGAAAACAGGAUGAAUCCGAAUCAGAACCAGAUAGUAGAAUCAAAUUCCAGGGAGAGUUCCAGCUGGUGUUCUCCAUAGAGGGCCAGUUUCCGGUUAAAAUGAUGCAAGCACAUGCACACCUAUGAACGAGGGAAUGAAUGCCGCCAAACGCCCCUCAGCUAAAGGGAAAAAAUGAGAUGUCUUCCUCUGAGAAGAUGCUUAAGCAUCUUGUGGAGGUCAACAGAAGCUGCCAUCCAGGAACACCAAAAGUCACUCUAAAUCCCCAAGCACCUUAGCAGAGAAGAGUCAAGGAAAGAAGGGAUAUGCUGACCAUGAGCCCUGGACAUCGUCAAGCAGAGUCCAAUGAACAGCCCACUUCAGGGGCUGCUACCUAAUCCUGGGGACCAUGCUAGCACAGUGGGAGAUUUCAUAAACGAUUUCAUGAGUUAUCUGCUUAUUUU